GUGGAAGACCACCACGUCGAUAGGCCGGAGGUGUAAGUGCAGCAAUGCAUUCAGCUGACCGGUACUAAUGGCCCGAUAGGCUUGAUCCG
rnacentral:rRNA from 1 species